AACCAUUCUCACCUGCGGCUAGACCUGCGGAGGGAUCAUCAUUGAAUAAGAAACUUUUCCAAGCUUUUGAGGGGGGGGGGAUGAUUGGAAGAAGAGAAGAAAAGAAGCAAGUCGCGUUUUCUUGCGCGCACUACUCGCUCCUCUCUUGUUCCAUCUUUUCUUUCCCUCGGGGCUUGCAAACAACUUUGAUACCCAAAAAGAGUUUUACUCCCUCUCUUUGUCUUUGACUUUUUCAGCUUC
rnacentral:misc_RNA from 1 species